CCACAUUUUGGCCCAAAAAUGUAACAGAUGCCCCAGCAGCUGUCUUGUUCUUCUUGAAAUUUUUGAAUUUAGUCUCACCUCUAAAGAUGUAGGCAAGUUGCUUCCCAACAUUUUGAAUGUCAAACCCUGCCAUGCUUGAGCCAUCCUCUCCAUGCUUUGCAGAGAUUGAAGAAUCCAAAUGGAUGCUAAACUCUUUCUUAUCCUUGGUUACUUGAACAGCAACUGCUGCUGGAAAUCGAUUAGCAACAGCUAGACUUUGUUCAAUGUUGACACCAUCAUACCCACAAUCAUGGUCCCAACCAUGGGUGUCCAGAACAGGCCUUGCCAGAAACUGUGAAAUUGGUUCCAAAAAACGGUACCUAUAAGCUGGAUUAUCACCAUCAAACGAAGGUGGCAAGACCAUAUCAGGUAAUGGAACUGGCACUGCAGCUGGAGCUCCAUUUUCUGGAUCAACAUCUUCUCCAUCGUAACCAUAUUCAUCUGUAGCAACCU
rnacentral:misc_RNA from 1 species